rnacentral:lncRNA from 1 species
AACUUUUGAUGUAGUUUGACACCACAAUCUCACUCACACUUAGCAUGAUAUAUAGAGAGAAAAAAUAAAAGUAAAGGAUUGUGACGUGCUAAGGAAAAAAAAAAUGGUGAAAAUAAUAUGUAAGAGAAAGUUUGGUGUGUACAUGUGUAUACUAUAUAAAUUAUUUUUUUUUUUUUUUGAUGAAAAAUGGACUAGGGGAUCACAUAAUAGAGCUUAUUUCUUUAAUUACAUCACCAUGCAAGUAAGUGUGAGGAAGAAGGUGAGGAAGAGAAAGGGAAGGGGGAAUUCAUACAUGUAAACCGGAUUCAUGACAAUACAAAACAGAGGUUCCCUCUCACCAGUUCCCGUGAUGAGCGACGUGAUUAGGAAACGUGCUUGGAAAAAAGCAAAAGCUUGGUAGUAGUGGCUGGUAUGAAGUGCACGUCCUUUUGCUAAAUUGCAAACAAACUAGCUAGCUUAGUCAAAAAGUAACUACGACUACAAAUAUGUAUCCACUUACCACCACAAUAGACCAAAAUUUGAACCUUCACCUCUUUAAUUAAUAAUUUUUUUUUAAAUUAAUAUUAUAUUAUAAUAUUAAGUUUUCCAUUAAUGAAAAGAUCUAUAUCAAUAUUCUAUUCUCAUAGCCUGAAACAUCUAUGUCUAUCUAUGCGUAUAAAAAAGUUUAUCUUCUCUGAAAAAUGGAAUUGACCUUGCACCAAGUUGGUGUCGUUUCAGAUUUGGCUUGUUGGUCGCUCUCAUUAUUCAAUUUUCGUCUCCUUCGUGGCCGCAAGUUGUAACAUUAUUAAUACGAGUUUGAUCAAAUUAUCCAAUAAUGUUUUGAUUUUUGAAUGUACCAGAUACUGUUAUUGGAAGCCAAUAAAGUAAUUGGGUCAUAUAAAGGUUAGAAGUUUCAACAUCGUUUAGUUUUCUUCACAUAGCUCAGCGACCUACCUAUACCAAACGAUAAAAUUCCGAAGUAGUUGGUGAACAAGACUACGAGAGUGAUGGUUACUUGACCUUAAUGCGGCUUAAGGGUUAGUAUUAGACCAUGUACAAUGGUCUGUUGAAACUGAUGUUGAAUGUUGUUGAAACAUGUUUAGCCCUUGCAUUGGUCUGUUGAAUGUUGUUGAAGUUGGGAAAAUGUUGAAACCGUUCAACAUUGUUGAGAGGAGCAUCCGGAGCCACGUGGCAGCUCCGGAUUGGAGAACGCUAGGCGCGUGCAGGACACGCGCCGACAACGCGCGUGGCGUGUCAGUGGGAGAGGAGAGAGAAGACCGAGUGGGUGAGGAUGGGACGCGUGGC